UACAGAGGGUGCAAGCGUUGUUCGGAAUCAUUGGGCGUAAAGCGCACGUAGGCGGCUUACCAAGUCAGGUGUGAAAGCCUGGGGCUCAACCCCAGAAGUGCAUUUGAAACUGGUAGGCUUGAAUGUCGGAGAGGGCAGUGGAAUUCCGAGUGUAGAGGUGAAAUUCGUAGAUAUUCGGAGGAACACCAGUGGCGAAGGCGACUGCCUGGACGAACAUUGACGCUGAGGUGCGAAAGCGUGGGGAGCAAACAGG
rnacentral:rRNA from 1 species